rnacentral:rRNA from 1 species
GAUGAACGCUGGCGGCGUGCCUAAUACAUGCAAGUCGAGCGAACAGACGAGGAGCUUGCUCCUCUGAUGUUAGCGGCGGACGGGUGAGUAACACGUGGAUAACCUACCUAUAAGACUGGGAUAACUUCGGGAAACCGGAGCUAAUACCGGAUAACAUGUUGAACCGCAUGGUUCAACAGUGAAAGACGGUCUUGCUGUCACUUAUAGAUGGAUCCGCGCCGCAUUAGCUAGUUGGUAAGGUAACGGCUUACCAAGGCAACGAUGCGUAGCCGACCUGAGAGGGUGAUCGGCCACACUGGAACUGAGACACGGUCCAGACUCCUACGGGAGGCAGCAGUAGGGAAUCUUCCGCAAUGGGCGAAAGCCUGACGGAGCAACGCCGCGUGAGUGAAGAAGGUCUUCGGGUCGUAAAGCUCUGUUAUUAGGGAAGAACAAAUGUGUAAGUAACUAUGCACGUCUUGACGGUACCUAAUCAGAAAGCCACGGCUAACUACGUG